CCUACGGGGGGCUGCAGUGGGGAAUAUUGGACAAUGGGCGAAAGCCUGAUCCAGCCAUGCCGCGUGUGUGAAGAAGGUCUUCGGAUUGUAAAGCACUUUAAGUUGGGAGGAAGGGUAUUAACCUAAUACGUUAGUACUUUGACGUUACCGACAGAAUAAGCACCGGCUAACUCUGUGCCAGCAGCCGCGGUAAUACAGAGGGUGCAAGCGUUAAUCGGAAUUACUGGGCGUAAGGCGCGCGUAGGUGGUUUGUUAAGUUGAAUGUGAAAUCCCCGGGCUAAACCUGGGAACUGCAUCCAAAACGUGCAAGCUAGAGUAUGGUAGAGGGUAGUGGAAUUUCCUGUGUAGCGGUGAAAUGCGUAGAUAUAGGAAGGAACACCAGUGGCGAAGGCGACGACCUGGACUGAUACUGACACUGAGGUGCGAAAGCGUGGGGAGCAAACAGGAUUAGAUACCCGAGUAGUC
rnacentral:rRNA from 1 species